ACUAAAUAAAUCACGUUACACAGUCUUCUAAAACAAAAGGACGCUCUAUAACUAUUUAUAAUAAUUAUAAAAAUAUAGUUACAUCUGGUUACUCAAUAAAAUAUUUACAAAAUAAAUAAAGAAUACUGUAUUUAUGCCGCAAAGGGCCUCGAUGGUGCUUAACAAAUUAUUACGUAUCAAAAGAGUUUUACUACAGUCAGUUUUGGCAGGAAUGUGAGAAUAGUGUAGCUAAGUUAUGCAAGGAAAAAUCGCUUGUAGGUAAAAACAGAACAUUUUCGGUGGCUCAUACACUUAUCAAAUAUUUAUAAAUAAAUAUUACAAUUGGUCAGUACUAUAUUCUACCACGGAUCUUCAUAAUGUCAGGGAACUGCGAAGUGAAUAUUAAAAAACGUUGUUCACGUGGUGAAUUUUCAUUUUUUUAGUUAAUAUUAACUGUUUUAAGUGAGAUACACUAAACAUUGUUCAUACAAUAUGCUGUUUUAAACUAUUGUAACCUGAAAAUGGCAAUUGAAGCCUAUUUUUUAUGUAAUAGUACAUUAUAGUAAUAACGUGGACCUGUAAACAUUACUUUGACACUCUUGUGUUAAUCACUUUUAAACUAGGGGAAAUUCGAUGAAUUGCGCCACACAAGUUAAUUUUACAACUAACGUCUUUUUUUUAAUUGAUUAUUAUACACAAUCAAAGAAUGUGUGAAAUUUGUGAACUGGCUGAUUAAAGUAUCAAAUAUUCAAUUGAGUACUACAUAUUUCUACGUUUUUGUUGGUUACACUUGAUACUACAUACAGGUACAAUUUUUUUUAGGUAUGAUUCACAGUGUUGUAACUUUCGAAAGUUAACAAAGAAAUAAUUUAUUAUGAAAUAAAUAAAAUAAAUUAAAUUUUACUUCGGCAUCUUCGGUAAAAAAAUCCAUUUAUGAGCAAAUAAAUGAACAAACUAUAGUAGACAGUAUUAGAGAUCGUCUGUCACUAUUGACACUUUAAUAAUUAGUACCACAUUUAGAUACCAUACAACCUUUAGUAGCAGUUUUUAACGGUACAUGUUAGGUCGAAUUUAUGAUAAUUACUGAAUUCAGUUUUGAAAAUUUUCGAAACGUACAAUUAUUAACUCAUUAUACUGAUGAGUGCUAUUAAAAUAAUUAGCACUAAUACUCACACUUUUUAUAUUAAUGUCUAGACAUUAUGAGUAAAUGUACAGGUUAUCUCUAAAUUGUGGCUUUAAAAUCGUAUGUCCCAGAGCUAAAUCUUCGUAACAAUAAAAGGAGUAAUCGUUCAUAUUUAUUCCCACAAAACGCAUCUUAAUAUGUUGUAGAAAAAAAUUAAAUAUAAUAAUAUUUUUUUCCCUAUGCUUUUGAUUAAAAUAACCUUUGUUCACAUUUUAAAGGCCCACCAGCACCUAGGUACACGCGGCAACACUGUUGAAAUUUCAUUUUUUUAGGGAAGUGAAAAUUUCGAAUAGGUUUUACUAUCUUUUUGAAAAU